rnacentral:lncRNA from 1 species
ACCAGAGAUUUGGACCUGUCACCUGUUCACACUACCUCAUUUAGCUCUAGGAGCCGUUGUAAUUUUGUAUCGUCGCAGUAUCGAGGCGACGGAUACCCCUAGUAGUUUAGCUUUCAGUUACGCUCGUGCUGGGAUGCCGAGUGUAUUUUUACUGUAUCGUUCAGACUGUUCCGGACUGUUGGGUGCCGUCGAAGUUGGCGGUGGACCCAUAUCGCCUUUUUGGCAUCGGAUUGUGCUGAGGGCACGUGACCUGUUGGCUGUUA